CAAAUAUGACUAUAUGGGCUUC
rnacentral:siRNA from 1 species